rnacentral:lncRNA from 1 species
GGUCCAAACAGCUUACAACAUCAAUAUGGUGAAAAUAUGAUAAUGGAUUUAUCAGAUUGUAUUUGUGUGUUUUAUAUGAUAGAAACAUAACUUUUGUUUGUGUUACCAUCAAACCAAGUAAACAAACUGUCGCGACACACUUGUCAACGUCGUAUCAAAUACUAUGACGUCGAUGUUGUAGUCAAAUCACGCAAAAUGACGACUCAAAGCCAGCCAUGAGAUACAAUUGUUGACAUCGUGCAAAACCGGUUAUUAUUGCA